rnacentral:snoRNA from 1 species
UAGCCUGAAAUGAUGUUAUGAAUUAAUUCAUGUCUCUUCCGAAAUGUAUUGUGGAGACAACUAAAUGCAUUUCUGAUCAGGCUU